rnacentral:rRNA from 1 species
UACGUAGGGGGCAAGCGUUGUCCGGAAUCAUUGGGCGUAAAGCGCGCGUAGGCGGCCCGGUAAGUCCGCUCUGAAAGUCCGGGGCUCAACCCCGGGAGGCGGGCGGAUACUGUCGGGCUAGAGUCCGGAAGAGGCGAGUGGAAUUCCUGGUGUAGCGGUGAAAUGCGCAGAUAUCGGGAGGAACACCGGUGGCGAAGGAGGUUCUCUGGGCCUUACCUGACGCUGAGGAGCGAAAGCGUGGGGAGCGAACAGG